rnacentral:rRNA from 1 species
GAUGAACGCUGGCGGCGUGCCUAAUACAUGCAAGUCGAGCGAACAGACGAGGAGCUUGCUCCUCUGACGUUAGCGGCGGACGGGUGAGUAACACGUGGAUAACCUACCUAUAAGACUGGGAUAACUUCGGGAAACCGGAGCUAAUACCGGAUAAUAUAUUGAACCGCAUGGUUCAAUAGUGAAAGACGGUUUUGCUGUCACUUAUAGAUGGAUCCGCGCCGCAUUAGCUAGUUGGUAAGGUAACGGCUUACCAAGGCAACGAUGCGUAGCCGACCUGAGAGGGUGAUCGGCCACACUGGAGCGGAGACACGGUCCAGACUCCUACGGGAGGCAGCAGUAGGGAAUCUUCCGCAAUGGGCGAAAGCCUGACGGAGCAACGCCGCGUGAGUGAUGAAGGUCUUCGGAUCGUAAAACUCUGUUAUUAGGGAAGAACAAAUGUGUAAGUAACUAUGCACGUCUUGACGGUACCUAAUCAGAAAGCCACGGCUAACUACGUG